AUAUUUUGGCAAGCGUGUAUUGCCAAAAUAUUUUCUGCACAGUAAGAGGUUUUGACUGCAUAUAUACUUACCUGAACAGUAACUGGACAUAGUAGUAGCGUUAAAAUAGCAGCAGCCGCUCCCUGGUUUCUUUAGAGCAGAGAGAAGCCGGAUUACUGCGGUUGACGCAAAAAUGCGUCUAUGGCGUCAUACCGACAUGACGCAUAAAUGCGUCUGCGGCGUAUAAUCGGUUAAUUGCUGUGUUUCUCACUAUGCUUAUUUCCUCAUCAUUGCUUCAUUAGUUCAUUAUUAUGCCUAUUGCGUUGCCUCAUUAUUAUUCAUUUGCGUUGCCCUUAUUGCUUCAUUAUUAUGCCUAUUGCUUCACUUUGCGUUUCUGAUUACCCCAUUAUUAUGUGCCAUGAUUACACAUGUACAACAUGUACAAUGAUAAAUAUUAAGCAUGUUAAGUAGUUUCACCCACACAGGGACGCCACUAUACCCCUACACUCCCGACCUGCUCGCCCUUGCCUCUCACAUCAACCCAGCACAGCCGCCCUUGCCUCCCCGCUUAGCCAUCAUUACAUCACCGCUCAAUUACGAUGCAUGGCAACUCUGGCUAGAUUAUCACCCCGACCAACACUACGCAUCGUACAUACUACACGGCAUCGCCCACGGCUUCCGGAUAGGCUUUGACCACACUAACACUGCUCUCCGCUCAGCAUCCACUAACCACCCAUCGGCCAUCGAGCACCCUGAUAUAAUCAAAAAAUCCCUCCUCGCCGAAACCGGCGCGCAACGACUUGUUGGCCCACUUAACCCAACACUCUACCCAUACGUCCACACAAGCAGCCUUGGCGCUAUAUACCUAAAAAACACUCAGAAAAAUGGCGCCUGAUAUUGGACCUAUCGCACCCCAAAUCCCACAGCAUUAAGACGGUAUCUCCCGUCAGCUCUGCUCUCUGACCUACACAAAAGUAGACUACAUCAUCCCACGAAUCCUUUUGUCAGGACGCGAUACACUUCUAGCUAAGAUAGACAUAGAAAACGCUUUCAGAAAUGUCCCGAUUCACCCUGAUGACCGCCAUCUGCUAGGGAUGAUGUGGGACAACCAGCUCUACAUCGACACAACCUUGCCCUUUGGCCUACGCUCGGCCCCUAAGAUAUUUAACGCUAUAGCCGACGGCCUCCAAUGGAUUGCUCUAGAAAGAGGGGUUACAAAUCUAGAUCACUUCCUUUAUCACCACAGGGAAACCCCACAGCCACGAAUGCCAAACCAACCUCCAACUGCUCGUCGAUACCUGCAAGAUUUACCUUUGGCCCUCGAGGGCCCUACCACAUGCCUCACUUUCCUGGGUAUUGAGCUAGACACAUCUCUCCUCCAGCUACGUCUCCCAGCGGAGAAAUUGUCGCGGCUCCAGCACACACUAAUCUCUUGGGCCGGACGAAGGUCAUGUUUAAAACGUGACCUGCAAUCGCUGGUAGGGCUCCUCCAUGACGCUAGUAUCGUCAUUAAACCGGGUCGCACCUUCAUUCGCCGCCUGGUCGACCUGCUGAAAUCCUCUCACAACCGCCCCAGAGAAGCACACAUCCGGCUAAACACCGAAGCAAGAUCCGAUAUCCUCUGGUGGAAACAAUUCAUAGGCGAUUGGAACGGGCUCUCCAUGAUGCGCAGCCACCAGCGGGAAAACCCCGAGAUCAUCCUCACUUCCGAUGCCUCUGGGAAUUGGGGCUGCGGCGCCUUCUGGAACGAUCGCUGGUUCCAAUAUAAAUGGUCCCACACUACAUUAGGUCUCCACAUCACCGCCAAAGAACUCCUACCGAUUGUCUUUGCAGUGGCAGUCUGGGGCGCUCAAUGGCAGGGAAAAUCGAUACUCUGCCGCUGCGACAACGAAGCCGUCGUAGCAAUCAUUAAUACAGGAACAAGCAAAGAUUGCGAAGCAAUGCCCCUCAUGCACUGCCUGUUUUUCAUAACUGCUAAGCAUAAUCUGCUCCUUACAGCCACUCAUUUCCCUGGCUCAAUCAACAUUCUCGCCGACGCCCUGUCCAGGAAUAACUUACAACUCUUUCUCUCCCUCUCACCACAGGCCCUCCCCAACCCGGAUCCUAUCCCCCCCGCCCUAAUCGACCUGCUCACAAUCUCCAGACUAGACUGGACAUCCCCAGCCUGGAGCUCAAUGUUCAACGCUACCUUCAAGCCGCCCUUGCCAAAAGCACCAUCUCUUCCUACACAACAGCCCAUCACAGGUAUACCUCGACUUCUGCCACCGCUCUACUCACACCCCAUACCCCACUACCGAAACUAUCCUCACCCAAUUUGUAGCUUUCCUAGGCACACAACACUUAAAGCACCAAACCAUUAAAUUAUACCUAUCCGGAAUCAGGUAUUACCACAUUAUAAAGUCUCACGCCAACCCAUUUACUACCGAUAUGCCAAAGCUCACAUACGUACUCAAAGGCAUCAAAUCGUCACAGUCCAAAGACUCAGCCUCAAAAACAAAAACACGUCUUCCCAUCACACCCAAGAUACUACAGGAGCUCCAGCUCGCUUUUCAUAACCCCUCAUUUGAUAACGUAAUGCUCUGGGCUGCCUCUCUGACAUGUUUCUUUGGGUUUCUUCGAUCUGGCGAGAUAACUGUCCCAUCGCCCUCUUGUUUCGACCCCUCGGCCCAUCUCUGCCUGGCAGAUAUCUCUGUUAACGAUGCACAGCAACUGUCCAUUAUUCGGCUGCACUUAAAGGCAUCCAAAACAGACCCAUUCAGACAAGGAGUCGAUGUUUAUGUUGGGCGCACCGGCAGCGCUCUUUGUCCCGUAGCAGCACUCCUUAACUACCUGGCCAUUCGUGGUACAAAUCCUGGCCUACUCUUCCAUUACCAAGAUGGUGCACCUCUCACAAAAUGCAAAUUUACCUCCUCCUUCCGUAAGGCUCUUUCAUCACGGGGCAUUGACAGUUCGCUGUACGCAGGCCAUAGUUUUAGAAUUGGCGCAGCCACGACUGCUUCACUGAACGGCGUCGAGGACUCCAUGAUUCAAACCCUCGGGUGAUGGAAAAGCUCUGCAUAUCUCACCUACGUUCGCAUUCCCUCACAACUUCUAGCGGCAGUGUCUAAACGUAUUUGUUCUUAGUCUGACAUUAAUUUGUGUCCAUUAUGAUAUGCUAUGCUUUGCUAUACUUACCUUUACGCAAUAGCUGUAUUAAUUCCUUAGUAGAUUAAACCACACAGGAAAAUAUAUUUCUAUGGGGAACCACUAAAACCAACCACCCAUAUCCCUCUCCCGGUCAAUCGCACACAAUCUGGAACCUGGAACAGUUCCAUCGUUUGCAUCUGAGCCCAACCUACCAAAUUAGCUUGAUGUUAUCGCCGCCCCCAAUGAAGUGGCUAUGGCUUGUACACAGCCAAAAAUAAUCAUUUCCGUAUCUGAAGUGAAUUGUUCCGCAUCUGAUACUGUUAUGUAGUCGGUUUUGUAUCUGAACUGUAUGCAUGCGGAUCAGUAACUAUUCUGUAUUUUCAAAUUGUAUCUGAAGCAGAUUUCAGCCAAUUACUGUACUGUUAGUUUUUUUUUAUUGAUACACAAGUGUACAACGGACAGAACAGUAUCUGGUGUGUUAAGAGAUCAUGUAUCAGACCAGAAGCUUAAAAUAGAGCACAUGAGAGAGUACAUGUAGUAAUAAAACAAAGCAAAGCAAAGCAAAAUGUCUUCCCCAGAUAGCCAGCUCCUACAGUCGAUAUUAGAUGAGUUAAAAAGUGAGUGUAUAAGUUACAGCAUGAUUAUACAUAAUUAUUAAAGCUUAAUAGACUAUUUCCUCAUUGACAUGACUUGUAUAAUAAUAUAGCUGUUCAGUACCUUAUAGAUCUACUUUAUACAAUGCACCAUUGUCCAGCAAUCAUGCACCUACGAUUAUUAUUAUUAUAUAAUUAUAGGUUUACGUUCCAGUAUCAGCACCAUUGAUAAAAAAACUAACAACGCUAACGAAGUGAGUUACAUGGUAUAGAUGCGGUGCAUGCAUGUGCAUAUACGGAGAUGAGAGCAUCGAAGUUCCCAUGUGUCACAUUCAGGCUGUUUGUUGUCUUCCCACUUCAAUUGAAUGGGAUCAAUGUUCAUCGACAUUUGAGAGCAUGCGUCUUUCAGAAGUUUCUAGAUACACAGACUCACCCCUGAUCAAGGAGACAUGUGGGGGGCUCCCGGUGAUGACUGUUCCUCUUCUUUUGUACACCGACGAUACAAGUGGCAACCGAAAUAAAAAGUGGAAUAAGUUUGAUUGCUGGUGCUUUCUUCUUGCUGGUCUACCUCGUCAUCAAAACAGUCAGCUGCAUAACUUACAUCCAUUUCAUCGCUUGUUCAAACAAAGUUGAUUGUAUGGAGAUGUCUGGAGCAAUUGUGUCAGACCUCAAGAAACUUGAGGAUGGCAUUGUCAUGUAUGACUCUACUCUCAAACAAUUGUCUUUGCUCCCGUUAUUGCAGCUUUGGCUGACAAUCCAAGGCACUCAGAGCUUCUGAAUCACAUGGGAUCAAAGUGGUGCAAACCUCUUUUGUCGUAUGUGUAUGGUAAACAAGUGUGAGGAUCCAACGAUGAAAUGUGCUGGCAGAACAAAGCAGUUGGCUGAAUUCCACAUUCAAUGCAUCAAAAAUCAGCCAUUUGAAACAGGGAAAAUUGAGACACGGAAGCGUUUCGGAAUGAAAGAGAUCGAUAAUCCCCUAUUCCUUCUAAGUGUAGAUCUCUUCAGGUCAACUCCUGUGGAGACACUACACACAAUUCUCCUUGGACCAUACAAGUACCUCCUCAAGACCCUUAUCCCACAACUCACAGCAGCUCAGAAACGCCAGGUGCUUGCCAAGAUCAGCACUUUCAAUUACUCCGGCAUUAAAGGGAAAGUCCUUGGCAAUAUCGUCAGCUAUCACAAGUCAUUUGUGGGAAGAGAUUAAAAGGCUUUGUCUCAGAUUGCGUUGUUUGUGUUUUGGCCGCACCUAUCUAAAGGAGAGAGAAAAGUUUGGCUUGCUCUUUCAAAGGUAUUCAGAAUUGCCUACUGUGUACCAUUCACCGAGGAUAAAGUACACGACUAUGACCAGGUAUGUCAGCACUUUGUGGCCAUCGUAAAAGAAAACACGCAUGCCUGAAAUGCUGAAAAAACAAAAAGUUCACCUGCUACUCCAUCUUCCGGAAAGUAUGAAAGAGUUUGGUCCCCCAUCAUCUUUUAACACAGAAAGGUGUGAGGCUUUCAAGUCAAAGAUGAGAAACUACAAUGUAUACUCUAAAGCUGCGUCAAGUAGAGACAUUGCUCUCAGCUUCAGGCUUGUGUGUGACGGGGGAACGACACUCAGUUUUGGCAGGAGCGUUGGGUUAGGACUGGUACACAUGUACCAUUCAAAUGCGGUCCAAAAGUUUCUGAAUGGAGCAACACCACCCAAACACAAGGCGAUAUACCAGCCAGGAGCACUCAGAAUGAAACAAGUACAGCCUGCAUCUCUCUCGAGUGUUGAGCUUAAGGUGGGUGGAGAGGUGAUGACCCUGGGAAGCCUUCCCACUGGCCUGUCUGUGGAUCUUCUUGAGACCUUUAACCUGCGGGAUGAUGUCCAAAGAUAUGGAGGUGUUGUGUCACAAGCUGGCCACUUGUUCACUGUGGGCAAUCUGUUAAAUUGGCCACCACAGACAACAUGUCACAGUAUGGUAUACUGGUGGCAAAUGUACUCAGACUAGCAUCCCAUUCAUCUAUGUGCCUGGUCCAGAAAUUUGAGGGCAUCGUCUUGAAUGGACAACCAAUUGUCAACGAGUAUGACUGCCCACUGUUGACCCUAACAGAUACGAUUACUGGAGUCUACCCUGUUGACAUUUUAAUUGAAAUGUCAAUAGUACAUGAAUGUACAGACACUUGUGAAUUUGUCGGUAACGGACCGCUCAAUGUCCUACAAGUCGAACGAGAGACAAUUCCAACAAGCAGAUUUGUAUACAUGCACGACUGGACGAAUAAAUUGUAUUGUUUCAAUGUAUACUGCAUGACGCAGUAGCUUUCAUGUUGUUACUAUCACUUUUGUGCUUUCAAUUCUAUUGCUAAUUUGUUGUCUAUACUAUCACUUUGCCUUUAAAAUAAUGACAAUUCUGAAA